rnacentral:tRNA from 1 species
ACCUGGCUGGCUUAGUCGGUAGAGCAUGUGUCUAUUGAUCUCAGGGUGGUGAGUUCAAGCCCCAUGCUGGGCA